rnacentral:pre_miRNA from 1 species
UGUUAAAAAUUCUAUUCAUUUUUACUAUUAAAAAUUGGCAUCGCUGACUGAAUAAUCAGAUAGAUACACAUUCAUUUUGGUGUAAAAAGAUCAAUUUUUAACAGUAAAAAUACAAGAAAUAUUUAACA